AGCAGUCGCCGCGGGAAUACGAAGGGUGCAAGCGUUACUCGGAAUUACUGGGCGUAAAACGUGCGUAGGUGGUGGUUUAAGUCCGUUGUGAAAGCCCUGGGCUCAACCUGGGAAUUGCAGUGGAUACUGGGUCACUAGAGUGUGGUAGAGGAUAGUGGAAUUUCCGGUGUAGCAGUGAAAUGCGUAGAGAUCGGAAGGAACAUCUGUGGCGAAGGCGACUAUCUGGGCCAACACUGACACUGAGGCACGAAAGCGUGGGGAGCAAACAGGAUUAGAUACCCCCGUAGUCCCUGUCUCUUAUAC
rnacentral:rRNA from 1 species